CAGAAUACUGGACCCCAGCUAAGAACGACUGCUGUGACGUUAUUUCUGGGGGAUUGCGCAACAUCACCACACGAUACAUCAAGGUUUUCAGAUCGAUUGUCCAUUAAGGCAAAAGAUCAUUUAAUUCUACUACAACAGAUGGCGAGUCAAUGGCAGGAGGUUCAAUUUUUCCCUUAAUUUCAGCAGAAUUAAAAGGAGCCAUAUUUUAUUUCGGGCAGCAAAAAGGCCGGCAUUGAGGGUAGACAGCGGACAUGGACCCGGUUACCACAGGGGUCCAUGACUAGCCCAUCGGAAUAUAGUUGCAAGCUAAAGGUGGUAUUAGACCAGUGGGUGCCAGAGGAUCCGGAGGUCGCACUGUUACAAUAUGUGGGCGAUCUAUUAGUUUGUUGCCCGGACAAGGAUUCAUACUAUAGACACACUAUCUCGCUACUGAACCAUCUGGCAUCCACUGGGAAUAAGGCUAGCAAGGAAAAAUUGCAGUUUUGUAAGGAGAAGGUUAUUUUUCUAGGCCUCUGUAUCUCAAAAGGGACCCAACACCUAACAACACAACAGAUACAGACUCUCAAAGACUUCACCCGACCUCGUAAUGCCCGACAGUUGAGAGCCCUUCUAGGUCUGAUCAAUUACAGCAGAGAUUGGAUCCCUAAUAUUUUAUUCAGAAUGGGUCCUCUCUAUACUUUCUGUGUUAUUACAGAAAGUUGGUGACAUAGUUUUAGAUUCCCCUCUAACCUUUCUCAUCCCACACUCUGUCCAAGAGAUUCUCAACCAGGUCCAGACCAAACAUCUUUCAGCAGCACGUCUGACCAAAUCUGAAGUGACUCUCCUUACCCCUACUAACCUCACACUGAGACGAUGUACAAUCCUCAAUCCCGCAUCUCUUCUUCCGACCCAUUCUGACUCGGAAGAAGAGGGGGGGACGAAGGGAUUGUGACCGACUCUAAUCCAACCAUGACAGAACCAACAGACAAUCACAACUGUUUUGAACUCAUGGAACCCGAGACAGAAGCAGUACAACAUCCACCUCCAUGACGGGCGGAUCCACGCCAGCCACUGCAAGAAGCUGCUGGACUAUCAAGUGCAAUGAUCAGGUGCAUUGUUUCUAUAUACACUUGUUGUUUAAUGUAUUUUGGAUACUGUUAUGAGGAGUCACAUUCGAAUUUACUGUUCAAGAUGCAUUUACAAUUAGCAAAAACAGCAAAUAGGUCCAACUGCUGGGUGUGCUCCAAACCCCCUCCGAGCCAGAGCAUCCCGGCAAUGGCGGCAGUACAUGCUCUUUAUGACAUCAGGGUGGGCAUGAGAAAGUUUAGUCCUUCAGGUAGAUCAGCGGAACGCCAUCUGUCCAUAGAAUUUAAUCAGACAUUCUUAGAUGGUAAUGUCACCUAUGGUCUUGAUGUCAGCCCCGAGGCUUGUACUAGACUUAGCAGACCCGUGUGGGUAUCCGGUCAAUUAGGCCAGUCCGGGAUUUGUUUUAAUAUCAGCUCUGGUUUUGGAGCCAAGUCCCUGGGGAGGACCGAAUGCCCAUCUGGGAUAACCAUCCAGAUCGACCAUAGAAUCCCUGACAAUAACAACCUAACCACCAGACAUGAUUAUGUCUGCUGGGGGGGAGGGUGUGACAUUCAGGAGGGUGCAGCAAUCCCAUUAUCCAUCCAAUUGUUGCGCAAUGCCCGUAACCGUAACCCCAAUGACCUUUGUGUCUCAUUAACUGGGCCCUAUUACUUUUUGUGCGGCCAGGCUGCCUAUAGAGCCGUUCCCCCGAAUACUAGAGGGUCAUGCUCCUUAGUCAGGUUAGUCCCUGCCUCCUACAUUGCCGACGGUCACAAGGACUUGAUGGUGCAGAGGAGGGUAAGUGUGGGAAGAAGGACCAGGAGAGAGCUAUUCUACACAGGGGACCGUGCAAGCAGCUAAAUAAUUUUUCCAUCAUAAUGGACGAGAUGUUUAAUGAGACAGUCGAAGCCAUGAGAGAAAUUUCUUCUGAACAACGACAGCUGAAGACCCUUAUGCUUCAGCAGAAAAUGGCUCUCGACUAUCUUUUAGCAUCAAAGGGGGGUUUCUGUGAGUUUAUCGGGGAGGAUUGCUGUACCUGGGUGGAAGAUACUGGGGACAAGGUCAGGCCCAUCUUGACAAGGUGAAAGCAUUACAGGGACAAGCAUGCGCUAUUGCAGAGGAGGGUUGGAACCCCUUUAAAGGUUUAGGGGGCUUCGGUGAGAUGUUGUUUUCUAUUGGAUCAUGGCUUAAAGAAGUUGGAGUGUAUGUCCUGAUGCUGCUCUUUCUUUUCCUCCUCUAUGUGACGGCGAGAAUGACCUGUUGUUUGGUGAACCAAGUUGCAAGGAGCCGUGCAGAGGACCAUGUGAUGAUUCCAUAAAGAGCCAUCGCCUGAAGCAUCCGGAACCCUUUACCUCAGGAAGAUCAGCACAGGAAGAACCACCACCUUUUUU